rnacentral:rRNA from 1 species
GACGAACGCUGGCGGCGUGCUUAACACAUGCAAGUCGAACGGAAAGGCCCUGCUUUUGUGGGGUGCUCGAGUGGCGAACGGGUGAGUAACACGUGAGUAGCCUGCCCUUGACUUUGGGAUAACUUCAGGAAACUGGGGCUAAUACCGGAUAGGAGCUCCUGCUGCAUGGUGGGGGUUGGAAAGUUUCGGCGGUUGGGGAUGGACUCGCGGCUUAUCAGCUUGUUGGUGGGGUAGUGGCUUACCAAGGCUUUGACGGGUAGCCGGCCUGAGAGGGUGACCGGCCACAUUGGGACUGAGAUACGGCCCAGACUCCUACGGGAGGCAGCAGUGGGGAAUAUUGCACAAUGGGCGGAAGCCUGAUGCAGCAACGCCGCGUGCGGGAGGACGGCCUUCGGGUUGUAAACCGCUUUCGCCUGUGACGAAGCGUGAGUGACGGUAAUGGGGAAAGAAGCACCGGCUAACUACGU